GGACAGGUACAGCACAGGCAGCGACAGUGCGAGCUUUCCCCACACCACCCCGUCCAUGUGCCUCAACCCUGACCUGGAGGGACCACCUCUAGA
rnacentral:sRNA from 1 species